rnacentral:rRNA from 1 species
GAUUAUGGCUCAGGACGAACGCUGGCGGCGUGCCUAACACAUGCAAGUCGAACGGGGAUUUGUUUCGGCAGAAUCCUAGUGGCGAACGGGUGAGUAACGCGUAGGCAACCUGCCCUCCGGCCGGGGACAACACUCCGAAAGGGGUGCUAAUACCGGAUACGAAGUCUGUGCCGCAUGGUACGGAUUUGAAAGAUGGCCUCUGUUUACAAGCUAUCGCCGGGGGAUGGGCCUGCGUCCGAUUAGCUGGUUGGUGGGGUAACGGCCUACCAAGGCGACGAUCGGUAGCCGGUCUGAGAGGAUGAACGGCCACAUUGGGACUGAGACACGGCCCAGACUCCUACGGGAGGCAGCAGUGGGGAAUCUUCCGCAAUGGGCGCAAGCCUGACGGAGCAACGCCGCCGUGAGUGAGGAAGUUCUUCGGAACGUAAAGCUCUGUUGUUCCUGACGAACCUCCCUUCUAUCAACAACGGAAGGGACUGACGGUAGGGAACGAGGAAGCCACGGCUAACUACGUGCCAGCCGCCGC